rnacentral:rRNA from 1 species
AUUGAACGCUGGCGGCAGGCCUAACACAUGCAAGUCGAGCGGAUGAAGGGAGCUUGCUCCUGGAUUCAGCGGCGGACGGGUGAGUAAUGCCUAGGAAUCUGCCUGGUAGUGGGGGAUAACGUCCGGAAACGGGCGCUAAUACCGCAUACGUCCUGAGGGAGAAAGUGGGGGAUCUUCGGACCUCACGCUAUCAGAUGAGCCUAGGUCGGAUUAGCUAGUUGGUGGGGUAAAGGCCUACCAAGGCGACGAUCCGUAACUGGUCUGAGAGGAUGAUCAGUCACACUGGAGCUUAGACACGGUCCAGACUCCUACGGGAGGCACCAGUGGGGAAUAUUGGACAGUGGGCGAAAGCCUGAUCCAGCCAUGCCGCGUGUGUGAAGAAGGUCUUCGGAUUGUAAAGCACUUUAAGUUGGGAGGAAGGGCAGUAAGUUAAUACCUUGCUGUUUUGACGUUACCAACAGAAUAAGCACCGGCUAACUUCGUG